GGAAAAGAAACCAACAGGGAUUGCCCCAGUAACGGCGAGUGAAGCGGCAACAGCUCAAAUUUGAAAUCUGGCCUCGGCCCGAGUUGUAAUUUGUAGAGGAUGCUUUUGGCGAGGUGCCUUCUGAGUUCCCUGGAACGGGACGCCGUAGAGGGUGAGAGCCCCGUACAGUCGGACACCUAGCCUCUGUAAAGCUCCUUCGACGAGUCGAGUAGUUUGGGAAUGCUGCUCUAAAUGGGAGGUAUAUCUCUUCUAAAGCUAAAUAUAGGCCAGAGACCGAUAGCGCACAAGUAGAGUGAUCGAAAGAUGAAAAGCACUUUGAAAAGAGGGUUAAAUAGCACGUGAAAUUGUUGAAAGGGAAGCGCUUGUGACCAGACUUGCGCCGGGCUGAUCAUCCAGUGUUCUCACUGGUGCACUCGACCCGGCUCAGGCCAGCGUCGGUUCUCGCUGGGGGACAAAAGCUCCGGGAACGUGGCUCCUCCGGGAGUGUUAUAGCCCGUUGUUUAAUACCCUAGCGGGGACCGAGGUUCGCGCUCUGCAAGGACGCUGGCAUAAUGGUCAUCAGCGACCCGUCUUGAAACACGGACCAAGGAGUCGAGGUUUUGCGCGAGUGUUUGGGUGUUAAACCCGCACGCGUAAUGAAAGUGAACGUAGGUGAGAGCUUCGGCGCAUCAUCGACCGAUCCUGAUGUAUUCGGAUGGAUUUGAGUAAGAGCGUAAAGCCUCGGACCCGAAAGAUGGUGAACUAUGCCUGUAUAGGGUGAAGCCAGAGGAAACUCUGGUGGAGGCUCGCAGCGGUUCUGACGUGCAAAUCGAUCGUCAAAUAUGGGCAUGGGGGCGAAAGACUAAUCGAACCAUCUAGUAGCUGGUUACCGCCGAAGUUUCCCUCAGGAUAGCAGUGUUGUUCUUCAGUUUUAUGAGGUAAAGCGAAUGAUUAGGGACUCGGGGGCGCUUAUUAGCCUUCAUCCAUUCUCAAACUUUAAAUAUGUAAGAAGCCCUUGUUACUUAAUUGAACGUGGGC
rnacentral:rRNA from 1 species